rnacentral:rRNA from 1 species
CCUACGGGAGGCAGCAGUGGGGGAUAUUGGACAAUGGGGGGAACCCUGAUCCAGCGACGCCGCGUGAGUGAAGAAGUAUUUCGGUAUGUAAAGCUCUGUCAGCAGGGAAGAAAGAAAUGACGGUACCUGACCAAGUAGCCCCGGCUAACUACGUGCCAGCAGCCGCGGUAAUACGUAGGGGGCAAGCGUUAUUCGGAAUUACUGGGUGUAAAGGGAGCGUAGACGGUUAAGUAAGUCUGGAGUGAAAACCCAGGGCUCAACCUUGGAACUGCUUUUGAAACUGAGUAGCUAGAGUGCAGGAGAGGUAAGCGGAAUUCCUAGUGUAGCGGUGAAAUGCGUAGAGAUUAGGAGGAACACCAGUGGCGAAGGCGGCUUACUGGACUGUAACUGACGUUGAGGCUCGAAAGCGUGGGGAGCAAACAGGAUUAGAUACCCCAGUAGUC